rfam:Triticum aestivum genome assembly, contig: Triticum_aestivum_CS42_TGACv1_scaffold_225027_3B
CUUAUACUCCCUUCGUCCGAAAAUACUUGUCAUCAAAAUGGACAAAAAAGAGAUGUAUCUAGAACUAAAAUACAUCUAGAUACAUUCCAUUUUAUUCAUUUUGAUGACAAAUAUUUCCGGACAGAGGGAGUAUCAU